rnacentral:misc_RNA from 1 species
GAUGAAGAACGUAGCGAAAUGCGAUACGUAAUGUGAAUUGCAGAAUUCAGUGAAUCAUCGAAUCUUUGAACGCAUAUUGCGCUCUUUGGUAUUCCGAAGAGCAUGCUUGUUUGAGUAUCAGUAAACACCUCAACCUCUUCUUGAUUUUUCAAAAGGUGGGUGGACUUGAGCUAUCCCAACAACCUUUACCGGUCGGCGGGCGGCUUGAAAUGCAGGUGCAGCUGGACUUUUAUCUGAGCUAAAAGCAUAUCUAUUUAGUCCUCGUCAAACAGGAUUAUUACUUUUGCUGCAGCUAACAUAAAGGAUAAUUGUCCUCUUUGCUGACUGAUGCAGGAUUUUACGACACUUUAUGUGUUGUUCAACUCGAUCUCAAAUCAAGUAAGACUACCCGCUGAACUUAAGCAUAUCAAUAAGCGGAGGA